rnacentral:rRNA from 1 species
UUUUACCUACGGGGCGCAGCAGUGGGGAAUAUUGGGCAAUGGGCGCAAGCCUGACCCAGCAACGCCGCGCGAAGGAAGAAGGCUUUCGGGUUGUAAACUUCUUUUAAGAGGGACGAAGGAAGUGACGGUACCUCUUGAAUAAGCCACGGCUAACUACGUGCCAGCAGCCGCGGUAAUACGUAGGUGGCAAGCGUUAUCCGGAUUUAUUGGGUGUAAAGGGCGUGUAGGCGGGAGCGCAAGUCAGAUGUGAAAACUCAGGGCUCAACCCUGAGCCUGCAUUUGCAACUGUGUUUCUUGAGUGCUGG